AUUUGAGUACUUGACACGGAAAUCUUGGCGCGUCUCCUUUAAGAGGAGGUGAAGCCCCGCCCCACGUGGGAACGCCAUUUCUCAGCGCCCGUUGUGAGGUACGUCACGACGUGGAGGGCCAAUGAGGGCCCGGGAGGGGGGGGCGUUCCUGUGCGUGUGGACAAGGUGGGGGCGGGACUUCCGGAACCGUCCUCCUGGGAUCCCGUCGGCUCGGGGGUUGGCCCUCAUCCGAAGGACCCGAGAGCUGGGUGGGGCGGUCCUGAGGAUUCUCGGCUGGGGCUCCCCUGGCGGCAGGGCCUCGUGGUCUCCGAGGAUGUGGCCUGUGCUUCUCCCAGGAGGAGUGGCUCGGCGCCUGCUGCUUGGAGGUUCACCCUCGAGGAAGACCUCAUGGAUGCAGAGAUGGAAGGCCUUCCACCCAAGAGGCUUCUUCAUUUAGCAGCAGAACGUUCGCGGUAGAGAGGCGUGUGAGUGCAGCCGAUGUGAGAAAACCUUCAGUCAAGGGCCUCACCUCGUAAAGCGUAACGAAGUUCAUGCUGGGGAAAUGCCUUAAAGUGUGUAGGGAGCGUGCUCUCUCCUCGCUCAGCGGAACAGGACGCGUGCCAGAGAUGAGGGACAUUGUUGGCCCCAUGUGACUCGCGAUGGAUAUGUCCAGCUUCCAAGUCAGACUUCCAAGGGAACUGCCUGCCUCCCAUUAUUCUGCUGGGUGUGGAAAUAAAGGCCUUGUUACGGAAGCCACCUUGAACCUGGGGAUUUCGGCUUACUGUGUAGGAUCAGUCAGUACUCUUAUUCUUAGGGGCACUGUGUUCAGUGGACCACCGUUAAAGAUCCCUGGGGACCAAGGUGUUUUGAUUGCGGGCACACACCUGUCUUUCUUGGUGGAUGCACCCCCCUUGCCUUUGGUGGUCGAUUCCUGCCGUUCGCCCUCUGCUCCUCUGGAAUCCCAUCAUCUCCAUUGAAAUUGGGGAGCCCACCUCGGUGGCAGCAUCUGCACCGUCGUGCAUGCCGUCAAGGAGAACAAUCCCGAAGCUUUCCAAGGAUGUGAGUGCUCCUUACCAACGUGCUUCUCGGUGCCGCCGUAGUGAAAGGAACGCCUUCUGGGUCUUCCGGAAGUCCGUAGUGGGGAGGUAGGUGGGCAGGUCACACGGGAUGAAUCCAGUCCAACAUUCCUAUCUCCCUAGGCCUUUGGAUUCCCUCCUGCAUUCCAGGGAAGCUCUGGCAUCUCAACCUAGCUAAAUGUAGGCCAUUUUUGAGGCUAAGUCUCAGUCAGACAGUCAGAUAUGUUGUUUAGAAACACCUCCAGCUGCGCAAGUGAGUGCAUUAAAUCUGGACUCUAGUCCCUUUACCAUCAUCCAUAGAUUUGGCCUGAUCUAGUGUUACGGUCCACCCUCCGUGGUCUGACACCCUUAGAAUCCACUUCACACGUGUUUCCCAUAUUUCUGGUAUAUAUUAGAAGAGACUUGCUCAUUUUCUAGGUGGGUAAGCUAGUCUUCCCGGAGCAUUGUGUAUUCCUGUGCCACUGGAGCAUGCUGUGCUUUGACCUUAGUCAUGUGUCUGGUGGCAACAGGGGGUAGUUGUGCUGGGUCUUGAGAAUAGGUGUCCCUUUUCAAGGCACCUCCCCUUGGCAAGGGUGUCACCGCAUUUUCAAGCAAAGGAAGACGCCACGGACAAACGACCUCUACUGGUGAGGGAGGCUUAGAACAACUUGGGGUUUUAGGAUGAUCCGUUUCCCUGGAUCUAACCAAAUGUCCCCACUCCCAGGUUCAUGCUCCCACCCUUUCUCAGUCAGUGCCUGACUUUCCCUUGAGAUACUGGUGAGACUGAAUCUAGCUGUUCACAAGCAAUACAGUGAACUUUUCUGUAUGAUUUUUAGCAGUGUCAGCCCUGUGACUGCAAGAAAAGAAAGAGGUUCUUUAUUGAAGUAUUCUGGUUCUCAUAUUACUUGUCCUGAGAGUUAAGUCGCCAUGACUUGUCAUUUUCUCUCUGUGUGCACUCCAGUGCACUCGAAGCUCUGUCCCAUACCGUACCGCCUCUAGUCAUCUUUACUACCAUUAAAAAAAAAAAAAAAAAGGUUCAGUAGCCACAGGCGCUCCAAGUCACUUGCUUCAGUCAGCACUUCAUCACAAGCAAGCAAAGGCGAUGGCUUGAUUAAUUCUGAUGCGGGCGCCUGCGGGUAUGCCACGGAUUACUAGCUUCCCGUUUCCCGCUGGCAAUGAGCUCAACACUGCUUAAGCUUGAAAUCACAACACAUCAAUUCCCAGAUCCCACUCUGCAAGUCCGUCUCCUGUGAUCACUCCCGGUACCAGUUCUGUAUCAGUCAGGGUCCAGUCCAGCAGACAGUAACCGCACAAUAGUAUGAUGAGCAAGGAAGGUUUGAGAUAAGGAUUAUUGACUAUUUCCAGGGAGAAAAAAGAGCAUUUGAAGGAAUACCCCGAGGGAGAGUACCCACGGAAGGAACAAGUGUGGAAAGCAGGGAGCCCUCCCUAAGGCUGGAUUGACACCUUGUUGGAGAUGGUGUUUUAACUCAACAGACAGACGGCAGAUAAGAGUUCGCAGGGUUGAUCUGGGCCAGAGUUGGUCCGUAUGACUGAUGGGCGAGAACUCUGAGCUAGUGGAAGACGGGACCCUCCAUCCCCGGCGCCCCCCUCCCCCGCACUGGGGUGCCCACGUGUUUCACCUGGAAGCUGCCCUGGGGAAGGGAGGUGCUGUCAACUUUGCUUAGAAGCCCGCUGGGUCGUGGCUGGGCUUGCUGGUGAGCUGCUGAGAAGCCCUCCAGGGAGUGCCCUUGAACCCUCCGGAAACUGCUUACAGGGGUGCCACUGAGCACCCCACCAGGAAGCCACCUCAGGUGCCCUGAAGCUCGCUGGGAGGCGAGCUCCUGGGUGCACAGCGCUCCAGCCAAGCACCCGGGAACAAGGAGGAAGGAAGGCACCCAGAACCGGGAGGAGAAACUGGCUCCUCCAGUGCCCCUCCAGCUCCCUCUACUGACAGAGCCUGACAUUGCGCCAGCUGCAAGGAAGACGUGGUCUGGACCACAGCAGGACAGUGGGAAGUGGGGUCAGGGCUGAGAGGCCACGCGUUUACCACCGGCACGACCAAAGUCAUGUUAUGACGCUAGCGCACCCUCGAUGGCAAAACCCAGCAAAGACAGCAGGAGAAAAAGAAUACUGGUCUGUGUCACAUGUGCAUGGAUGCAAAAUGCUAAAGAAAACUCAGAAAACUGGAUUUAGCGAUAUAUAAACUGUAAUGCAUUAAGACCACCUUGGGUUUAUAUUGGUGUCCGCUGGCUCUCCACCGAAAUCUGUGCUCUUAUUUCAUAGUAUGGGGCUGUCACCGCGAAGCACCCAGCUGUGACCAGGUGACCUCAUCAGUGGAAUGCUGCCUCCAGGCUAAGGCUUUUAGGAAGAGAGCACGUGGGCCUCCUCCCCGUCUCUUUCCCCUUCUGCUUUCUGGGUGCAGAUGAUGACCGGCCCUUGGGGAUGGAGGAGUUACAAGGUGGUGGCAUGUGAAGAGCUUCCUGCCAAUCCAGCUACCAUCCUGGGCUAAACAGCCGCCAGUCUUUGGUCGUCGUCAAGGCAGCUCCAGGAGAUGGCAGUUCCGUGAACAUCUCCUGAGCCCCCGCUAAGAAGCAGCCACUGUUCCAGGUGCGGGGCGAAUAGGACGGACUGGGUCCUGCCCUCCUGGGACUUUCAGCUGGUGACUCGAAAAGAGGGCAGGCUGAAGCCGCCAGGAUCUCACCGGUUAGGACUGCACGCCCACGCUAGGGAGGGCACACGCCUUUUUGGGCCCCGCCACGCCCCCCAUGCUGACCCUCCACCGAGACGCUCGGAUGGGGUUCAGAGCCUUCCUCCAGGGAGCAGCGCUUUUGGAGAGCACAGGCUCCGGAUGCACAGGCCCAGCGGCCGUGGCUCACGGGCCCAGCCGCUCCGCGGCAUGUGGGAUCUUCCCGGACCGGGGCACGAACCCGCGUCCCCUGCAUCGGCAGGCGAACUGUCAACCACUGCGCCACCGGGGAAGCCCCAGGUACAUUUUAACGCAGCUUAGGGAGGGGUGUUCUCCUGUGCCAUCUUGCUCUUCUCCGGAGGUUACUUGUGCCUCUGUCUUCUCUCCCCCCACCCUCCUUCCCUCCCUCCCCGCUUUCUUCCUUCCAUCAUCGUGGAAUCCACACAUCAGCAACUUACACGCAGUACCUCUGGGCACUGUGCCAGGUCCUGGACGCAGUAGAAAACGAGAUUGGCCAGGUCCUCCCCUCAUGGAGCUUCCAUUCUUGUCCCCCGAGUGUCCCUGUGGACUCCGGCCACCUCACAGCAGACCUCAGAGGGCUAGUGGGCACUGCAUGCCUACGUGACUGGCCUCAGCUACUCAGCCCCCAGAGCAAGACUGGCAUUCGCCAUGGAACACAAUGUUGGCAAAAACUAUCUGGUCACCUGGUGCGAGCUCAAGUCUUCCUGCCCUGUACUCACCUGCUGCUUCUGAAACCUCUUCUUCAGUCCCUGUCAUCCUUGCAGCCUGGGCUGUUUCAAGAUUUAGCAUCCAUCCUCUCUCAGCCUACCUCUAAAAGUUCAGAUUCAUUUUGUACCCCGUGGACCCUAUUUGCUGACUUAAUUCUAGAGUUUUGGACACUGAUCACCUUUCUGAUGGUAAGGCUGUCCUCUUGUUUUGUACACAAGCCAGCGGGUGGUUGGAGGAACCACUCACUGGGCUCGUCCAAGACCCUGGACUCUUUCUCUUUCCCACAGAAGAGACCUCAUGCCCUCCAGCUACCCAUGGCCCAAGACCCCCCCCGCCCCCGCUCCUCAUUAUUACUCUUGAAUCCCUUUAGGACACCUGUGCCUUACAUGUCUGGGUUGUUCUCCCAUUCUUUUUUUUUCAUUUUUAGAUAUUUAUUUACUUAUUUAUUUUUGGCUGAGUUGGGUCUUUGUUGCUACGCGGGCUUUCUCUAGCUGCGGCAAGCGGGGGCUACUCUUUGUUGCGGUGAGAGGGCUUCCCAUUGCAGUGGCUUCUCUUGUUGCGGAGCACGGGCUCUAGGCGCAUGGGCUUCAGUAGUUGUGGCACGCAGGCUCAGUAGUUGUGGUGCACGGGCUUAGUUGCUCCGUGGCAUGUGGGAUCUUCCCGGACCAGGGCUUGAACCCAUGUCCCCUGCAUUGGCAGAUGGAUUCUUAACCACUGUGCCACCAGGGAAGCCCCUAAAUGUAUUUAGAAUUGCAUCACACGGUGUUAUAAUUUUGUUUCAAACAUCAAAUAUAAUUUACAAAACUCAAGCGGAGAAGGAAAGCCUAUUGUAAUUCUCCGUAUCUUUUUCUUAUAUGUGUUUUCCUUCCUUUCUGACAUUCCAAAUUUCCUUCUUUUACUGUUUCCUUUCUGUUUAGAGACUUUUCUUAGUCAUUCCUUAGGGCGGGUCUGCUGGUGACAAAUUCUCUUAAUUUUCAUUCAUCUGAGAAUGUCUUGAUUUCACCUUCAUUUCUGGAUGAUAUUUCCCCUGGUUAUAGCAUUCUGGACACAGGUUUUCUUUUUUUUUUUGACACUUGAGAGAUAUCGUGCUCCUUUUUUCUGGACUCCUUGGUUUCUUAUGAGAAAUCUGCUGUCACUCCAGUUGUUUUUUUCUGUACAGUAAGAUGUUUUUCUCUGGCUGCUUUCGAGAUCUCUUUUUUUGUCUUGAGUGUUGAGUUUUCAGACAUUUAAUGAUGAUGUGUCUUGGCACAGAUUUCUUUGGUUUUUCCUGUUUGGUGUUUGCUCAGCUUCUUGAAUCUAGAGGUUUAUGUCUUUUGCCAAAUUGAUGAAGUUUUCAACCAUUAUAUACUUAACUAUUUUUCAGCCUCUUCCUCUCUCUCCUCUCUUCCUGGACUCUGAUGAUGUGAACGUGUGAUCUCUUGUUAUAUUCCCACAGGUCCCUGAGACUCUUUAUUAUUUUUUUCAGAACAUUUUUUCUCAGUAUUCAGUUUGGAUGAUGUCUGUUUUUCUGUCUCCUGGUUCACUGAGUCUUUCCUGUGUCUUCUCCAUUCUGCUGUUGAGCUUCUCAACUAAGCUUUAUAUUUCAGUUAUUAAAUGUUUUAGUUCUUAAAUUUCCAUUAAAAAUAUAUUCUAUUUCUUAGUUGAGACUUCCUUUACCGAGGCUUUCAAUUUUUUCAUUUGUUUCAAUCAUGUUUGUAAUUGCUUGUUGAAACAUGUUUAUCAUGGUGGCUUUAACAUCUUUGUCAGCCAAUUCUAAUGUCUGCCAGCUCACUGAUGACAUCUAUUGACUGUCUUUUUUUUCACUCAGUUUGAGAUCUUCCUGGUUCUUGGUGUGAUGGGUGAUUUUUAUUGGAAGCCUGUGACCUGCUCUUGUGGAGGAGGGGGUCCUGCCUUGUUACUGUCUGGUGGAAGUAGAGGUCUGAGUUCCCCAGCAAAGAAGUCUCUGCUGUUGUAGGUGAAGUGGGAGGGGGGCACAGUUUUCUCUGUGGUGUUUGGCUGGAGCAGAGCAGUCAUUCUCUAAAAGUUUUCUGUCCUGCCAGGCUGCCUCUUUUCUGAUACUUUGGCUAGAGAGAGCAGACUUUUGUUGUUUUUACUGGGGGUGGGGUGGGGUGGUAUCUUUGCUCAUUGACAGUUCUGGGUUGCAGCCUUGUUCAUAUCCAAGUCUGGAAAAUAUGAGGCAAAAGAAAAGCUGGGCAUCUCCUAUUGUGUUGUCACUUGGGUCCUGGUCUACCAUCUUCUUUCCACCUUUCAGUGUGUUUUAUGUUUGUUUUAUAUAUAAUGUUCAGGGCUUUUAGCUGUACUUAGGGAAAAGCAGGUCUGCUUUCCAUUCCAGAAGCAAAAGAAACAUGAAUUCCUUUUAUAAUAAGAAGAAAUAGGAUGCAAUAAUGUUUCAUCAAAUGUUGCAGGUUAAUUGGGUUGCAGAGAUUAGAGAAUGAACAGAAGACUGCCUUCCAGCUGAAAUAAACUUGAGGGAAAACUCAAGGGGCUGGUUGUAACAGACCGAAUAAUAAAAGCAGCUCUUUUGCUCAUAAACUUUUCUGUUUAAAUAUUCUGACCAGAGUCUCCAAUGAAGUUUUGUCUGUUUACAUUCAUCCAUGACAAAGGAAGACUGAUGCAAGGAACGAUUACAACCCCGUGUAGUUCAUAAAAUUAAUAACUGAGAAAUUGGACUUUUGCUUCCCCAUUCUUAUUUUGCUCUGGCUUUUAGCUGAACCAGUGAUUAUUUUUCGUACCAGAAGCCCUUCCCCAAAGGUCUGCUUAAGUGUUCCAGCAGAUCGGGAAAGCAGCAGGGGGGGUGGCACACGGGCAACUGCAGCCCACAGCCGACCUGCAGGCUCCUCUUUCCGGCUGGCGGAGCCCCUGUUCCCGCUCCUCGAACCCAAACCAUUUCCUCCCUCAGAAGGGAGAGCAGGGAUGAGGUUUCCAGAUUCAAAAGGAGGCUGAAAACAACCUCAGCCCUUUUUAUGGUGCUUCUUUUCCUGGGCAGCACGUGAGGCGGGAUGCAGUGUGUUCUGAGGACAGGGCAGGGCAGCAGCAGGUCCUGCAGUGUCCCCAAGUCCCCAGCCCCCUCUUCGUGCUCUGGUUCCGCCGUUCUCACCUGCGACACAGGCUGCACCGA